rnacentral:misc_RNA from 1 species
GGUAGUUUCAAAGAAAAACCUCCCUAUCCACAGUCCACAAGUGCUUGAUUGAGUUCAAAUUUAUAAAUAAAAUGAAGCAGAAGUUCUCGGUGGCGAUUAAAACCAGGAAAUUUUAUUUUUCAUGGUUUGUGAAGGUAAAAAUUUUAGUAAUCUACGCAAACUCUAUUUAGCCUGCGUCUGGAGAAUAAAAGAAAGAGACCUUUAGAUUUACCUCUGAUGGUGGCUUGUUGUAAUUGAAGUCUCUUGUUUGUGGUAUUGCCUCUAUGACACGUUUUUUUUGGGUAGUUUUCUUAUUAAAAAAGA